GUUAGUUGGCAGGGUAAAGGCCUACCAAGACUAUGAUGUGUAGCUGGACUGAGAGGUUGAACAGCCACAUUGGGACUGAGACACGGCCCAAACUCCUACGGGAGGCAGCAGUAGGGAAUUUUCGGCAAUGGAGGAAACUCUGACCGAGCAACGCCGCGUGAACGAUGAAGUAUUUCGGUAUGUAAAGUUCUUUUAUUGAAGAAGAAAAAAUAGUGGAAAAACUAUCUUGACGAUAUUCAAUGAAUAAGCCCCGGCAAACUAUGUGCCAGCAGCCGCGGUAAUACAUAGGGGGCGAGCGUUAUCCGGAAUUAUUGGGCGUAAAGGGUGCGUAGGCGGUUUAAUAAGUCUAUAGUUUAAUUUCAGUGCUUAACACUGUCCUGCUAUAGAAACUAUUAGACUAGAGUGAGAUAGAGGCAAGUGGAAUUCCAUGUGUAGCGGUAAAAUGCGUAAAUAUAUGGAGGAACACCAGAGGCGUAGGCGGCUUGCUGGGUCUUUACUGACGCUGAGGCACGAAAGCGUGGGGAGCAAACAGGAUUAGAUACCCUGGUAGUCCACGCCGUAAACGAUGAGUACUAAGUGUCGGGAUUACUCGGUACUGAAGUUAACACAUUAAGUACUCCGCCUGAGUAGUACGUACGCAAGUAUGAAACUUAAAGGAAUUGACGGGACUCCGCACAAGCGGUGGAUCAUGUUGUUUAAUUCGAAGAUACACGAAAAACCUUACCAGGUCUUGACAUACUCUGCAAAGCUAUAGCAAUAUAGUGGAGGUUAUCAGGGAUACAGGUGGUGCAUGGUUGUCGUCAGCUCGUGUCGUGAGAUGUUAGGUUAAGUCCUAAAACGAGCGCAACCCUUGUCAUUAGUUGCCAGCAUGUCAUGAUGGGCACAUUAAUGAGA
rnacentral:rRNA from 1 species